AACUUUCAACAACGGAUCUCUUGGUUCUCGCAUCGAUGAAGAACGCAGCGAAAUGCGAUACGUAAUAUGAAUUGCUGAUAUUCGUGAAUCAUCGAAUCUUUGAACGCACAUUGCGCCCUUUGGUAUUCCAAAGGGCAUGCCUGUUUGAGCGUCA
rnacentral:rRNA from 1 species